UACGUCAGUGGCAGACGGGUGAGUAACGCGUGGGAACGUACCUUUUGGUUCGGAACAACUGAGGGAAACUUCAGCUAAUACCGGAUAAGCCCUUACGGGGAAAGAUUUAUCGCCGAAAGAUCGGCCCGCGUCUGAUUAGCUAGUUGGUGAGGUAAUGGCUCACCAAGGCGACGAUCAGUAGCUGGUCUGAGAGGAUGAUCAGCCACAUUGGGACUGAGACACGGCCCAAACUCCUACGGGAGGCAGCAGUGGGGAAUAUUGGACAAUGGGGGCAACCCUGAUCCAGCCAUGCCGCGUGAGUGAUGAAGGCCCUAGGGUUGUAAAGCUCUUUUGUGCGGGAAGAUAAUGACGGUACCGCAAGAAUAAGCCCCGGCUAACUUCGUGCCAGCAGCCGCGGUAAUACGAAGGGGGCUAGCGUUGCUCGGAAUCACUGGGCGUAAAGGGUGCGUAGGCGGGUUUCUAAGUCAGAGGUGAAAGCCUGGAGCUC
rnacentral:rRNA from 1 species